rnacentral:rRNA from 1 species
UACGUAGGGGGCAAGCGUUGUCCGGAUUUAUUGGGCGUAAAGAGCGUGUAGGCGGCUUGACAGGUCUGCUGUGAAAACUCGAGGCUCAACCUCGAGAUGUCGGCGGAAACCGUCUGGCUAGAGUCCGGAAGAGGAGAGUGGAAUUCCUGGUGUAGCGGUGAAAUGCGCAGAUAUCAGGAGGAACACCGGUGGCGAAGGCGGGUCUCUGGGCCGAUACUGACGCUGAGGAGCGAAAGCGUGGGGAGCGAACAGG